GACUUGAGAUCUCGCUACCAUCAAUUGAGGAUUAGGGCAUCCGAUGACCCUAAGAUAGCUUUCAUGUCACGUCCCGAGCCCGGGGAUGAGACCGGACCUAGUGCCUCAUCUAUCCUUGCGUACCGCUUGCGACUAAGAGACACUAAACAUACAAUGUCAUACUUUUGCUAUGGGCCACAUUACAAGAUAAUGUGCGAUACAAGAUAUAAAACUAAAUGGAGACUAACACUGACCAAUGUCAACAUAAAGCUGGACCGGCAAGGACAUCAUAAUUACUACAACUGACAAGCCAACAAAAUAUACAUAUAGGGCAUACAAGCCCAACAUACUGCACUAACCGACAUAAUAUGUCUACAAGCCUCUACUGAUAGAUGUACUAUGAUCGGAACAGGGCCCCGACCUACCCAUAACCUUUCUACAUAUAUACACAAGAUAUAUACCACACUACUAGACUCGGCAACUCCAAAAGAAAGGGAGCUUAUCGACAAAGCUGAACUCGGACAACGCCUACUAAGGAGGUCUACCCGUCUGUCUGUCUGAACCUGCACGCAUGAAAUGCAGCGCCCCCAGAAAGGGAUGUCAGUACGAAAUAAUGUACCGAGUAUGUAAGGCAAUAUACUGAAGCUGAAACUGAACUGAUAAUAUAAUAAAUGUAAAACAUCUAGGAGUCAAAGAAAAUCUAAAGAUAUGCUCAUCUGCUGAUACUGACUCAACUCUCUCAAUAUAAUGAGUAAAAUAGCUGUCUGGCCCUAUAAGGCUCGGUAUAUAUAUAUAUAUAUAUAUAANNNNNNNNNNNNNNNNNNNNNNNNNNNNNNNNNNNNNNNNNNNNNNNNNNNNNNNNNNNNNNNNNNNNNNNNNNNNNNNNNNNGUAAAAAAUAAUUUAAAGUAAACUAAAAGUACUGAGCCAAUUACUAAUAUAUAAAUAUUAAUUUAAAAAUACUGGAAAUAAUUUUACAAUUAUAAAAUGCUAUUAAUCUUAAAGUACGCUAGAAUUGCAAUUAUAUGCAAUUUAGCUUUUAAAAUACCAAAUAAAAUUUGUAAAAAUAUACAAAAAUCACCUUAACUAUAUUUUGAUAUAAAUACGAGAAUAAGAUAAGUUAUUCACCAAAAUGAUAAUCUUGGGAAUAAUUAUUGGUUUUUGUACUGCUAAAGUGGACAAUAAAUUGAUUUUAAAAUCUUUAAAAAAUUAGAAAAAAUACCAAAACACUUGGGCAUGCUUAUAUAUGCAUAUAUAUGCUAUUUUAUAUAAAAAUACAUAGGAAAAAAUUGGGUAUCAAUAGUCACAUGAAAUGCACACCCGAAUUUAAUAAAUAAAGGAAAUCAAUUUAAAUAGCGCGCCUAAAGCAAACUACGAAAUUUUGAAUUUAAGACAAGGUUUGCAAGAGCCAUGAAAAAUUUAAUAAUGGCACGCUUUAAUUUUAAAAAAGUUAUUAUUAAUUAUCCGAAUGCCAUGAGUUAUCUAAUUUUUGCUUAUGGUACACCUCAAGUCUAAAAUUUAAAGGGUGUUUGAACUAAUCUUUUGAAGGCCAUGGAUUAUUGCUUGCUUAAUAUGGCACUCCUCAAAUCUAAUAAAAGAAUUAUUCUAAAACAACUCAAUUUGAAAUUAUUAUAGGUACAACUAUUGAUAAUAAAGGAACGUUGGGCUUUCAACUUUUGGAAGCAAGCCUGUUAUGGACAAGGCUUCAAUAGAAAUUAAGUGAAGAAGUGAGUUCGAAAGAGCAGGCCCAGGCACAAUAAGGCCUGGAGCUCCCGUUUUUCACAUGGCCUCGAUGUCUAGGCCCAAAGGGAACCCAAAUCUGAUGAAAAGCAAAUGCUGAAGAACAUGGACUCAAGAUCGAGUCCAAUCAAAGAAGAGCAGUCAACGUUUAAACUCAAAAAUACCAGUUGAGCCUAAUUAAAAUUCAUCAAUACUCAGCAACAGGUUAAAAGGCCCCGGGGCACUACUAAACCAUAUUGCAUUUUUACAGAAAAAAUAUUGUUUGAGUUCAAUUGCAUUAAUGACAUAAACAAUACAAAACUGUACAACCAUUCAACCUUAAUUUAAUCCCAAACUAGCUUAAAAAAUAAUGGUAUGAAAUUCAGAACCUCAAUUAAACCUUUUCAACACACACCAUAAUAACAGAACCUUAUAAAAUUGACAUUAGACAAUCCUGAAUCUAAACACCAAGUCAAAUUAAGAUAAGACUCAAACACAGACCAAAAUGAUUCAACAUAAGCUUAACUGCUACUGCAAACAAACAUGAGCAUUUUCCCUCACCCAUAGCAAGUUUAAACCAAACUAAACUCUAAACAAGAGACUCAGAGAGCUUGAAUUUCAAUUUAAUACUAAGACACCACAUCCACAACAUAAGAAAGACUAAUAGAGUACACAUAAAAUUAAGUUAUUACAAACAUGAAUAAAAUGGAGAAAAAGGGGAAACAAGAAUUUAGUAGCACAAAUGGUUUACAUCAUGUGUCUUCAUUCACAUUGCAUAUUAUACUUCACAUGUUAACCAUGGUUCGAGAAGUACCUGGAAUGCAAUAAAAAAACAAAGAGAAAUGAAGAGUUAGCAGCAGCAGCAGAACCAGCUUAACAGCCCAGCAAUACCAAACAAAACCAGCUUGUUCAAACCAGUAUAGAACCCAGAUGAACACCAAUCUUUGGAGUUUUCAAAAACUCUGAUUAACUAUGAAGUUUCAAGGCAGAGUUAAACCAAUUUUGACCAAAAAAAUGCAGGGAAUUUCAAUGUUCUUUCAAAGUUUUUCAAAACUCGACCGUUUUUCAGUGUUUAGGUAUGAAUUCUCUAAAAAUGUACCUUGAGAAUGAAGUAACAUGCCUUUUAUAAAGG
rnacentral:lncRNA from 1 species